UUCGUCACACUAUCAUUAACUGAAUCCAUAGGUUAAUGAGGCGAACCGGGGGAACUGAAACAUCUAAGUACCCCGAGGAAAAGAAAUCAACCGAGAUUCCCCCAGUAGCGGCGAGCGAACGGGGAGCAGCCCAGAGCCUGAAUCAGUGUGUGUGUUAGUGGAAGCGUCUGGAAAGGCGCGCGAUACAGGGUGACAGCCCCGUACACAAAAAUGCACAUGCUGUGAGCUCGAUGAGUAGGGCGGGACACGUGGUAUCCUGUCUGAAUAUGGGGGGACCAUCCUCCAAGGCUAAAUACUCCUGACUGACCGAUAGUGAACCAGUACCGUGAGGGAAAGGCGAAAAGAACCCCGGCGAGGGGAGUGAAAAAGAACCUGAAACCGUGUACGUACAAGCAGUGGGAGCACGCUUCGGCGUGUGACUGCGUACCUUUUGUAUAAUGGGUCAGCGACUUAUAUUCUGUAGCAAGGUUAACCGAAUAGGGGAGCCGAAGGGAAACCGAGUCUUAACUGGGCGUUAAGUUGCAGGGUAUAGACCCGAAACCCGGUGAUCUAGCCAUGGGCAGGUUGAAGGUUGGGUAACACUAACUGGAGGACCGAACCGACUAAUGUUGAAAAAUUAGCGGAUGACUUGUGGCUGGGGGUGAAAGGCCAAUCAAACCGGGAGAUAGCUGGUUCUCCCCGAAAGCUAUUUAGGUAGCGCCUCGUGAAUUCAUCUCCGGGGGUAGAGCACUGUUUCGGCAAGGGGGUCAUCCCGACUUACCAACCCGAUGCAAACUGCGAAUACCGGAGAAUGUUAUCACGGGAGACACACGGCGGGUGCUAACGUCCGUCGUGAAGAGGGAAACAACCCAGACCGCCAGCUAAGGUCCCAAAGUCAUGGUUAAGUGGGAAACGAUGUGGGAAGGCCCAGACAGCCAGGAUGUUGGCUUAGAAGCAGCCAUCAUUUAAAGAAAGCGUAAUAGCUCACUGGUCGAGUCGGCCUGCGCG
rnacentral:rRNA from 1 species